UACGUAGGGGACAAGCGUUGUCCGGAUUUACUGGGCGUAAAGAGCGCGCAGGCGGUCGUUCAAGUCGGGUGUGAAAGCCCCCGGCUCAACUGGGGAGGGUCAUUCGAUACUGAUCGACUCGAAGGCAGGAGAGGGUAGUGGAAUUCCCGGUGUAGUGGUGAAAUGCGUAGAUAUCGGGAGGAACACCAGUGGCGAAGGCGACUACCUGGCCUGUUCUUGACGCUGAGGCGCGAAAGCUAGGGUAGCAAACGGG
rnacentral:rRNA from 1 species